ACGAUCUUUCCUAACGAGGGCGGGGAGAUUGGGCUGCGCCUCUGGGCCGUAAGGGACUCUUCUGUGGGCUUCCCCCACUUCCCGCAAAAUAGUUCUCCCAAAAUAGCUUGAAUCCAAGCAGCUGCCUCAAGGUACACCAAGCCUUCUGAGCUGUCAUGUUGCC
rnacentral:lncRNA from 1 species